CGGGACGGGUGAGUAACGCGUGGGUAACCUGCCUCAUACAGGGGGAUAACAGUUGGAAACGACUGCUAAUACCGCAUAAGCGCACAGGAUCGCAUGAUCCGGUGCGAAAAACUCCGGUGGUAUGGGAUGGACCCGCGUCUGAUUAGCCAGUUGGCAGGGUAACGGCCUACCAAAGCGACGAUCAGUAGCCGACCUGAGAGGGUGACCGGCCACAUUGGGACUGAGACACGGCCCAG
rnacentral:rRNA from 1 species